UUUGUACCCACCAAUUUUCGUAUGAAAUUAGACGCGAAUACACAGAAAUUUAAAGAAAUACUUAGAAUGGUUAGAAACAUUCACGAUGCCGCGAUAAACAUAAUAAAUGGAUAGACCGAUAUGUUAUCACUUGAAAUUAUUUUGUUUGUUUAUUUUUAGACUUUUACUUUUAAGCUGAGAAAUGGAGAUAGCUUACAAUUGUUUCCAAUCUUUACGUUGUAUUAACUUGUUUUGGUUCUCACGGCAAAAUACUUUACACGUGCAUUGUUUAAUCAUUCAAUUAUUGCCUCUUAAGAUUUGUCCUGCACUCUGUUUUUGCAGUGGUUCAUUAUGUUGCUCCCACGGAUUAUAUUUCCUUUUAUCCGCUUCAACUCAAUGCCCAGUGGCGUAUUUAUGGGGCCCAAGAUAAAUGGAGUUUGAGAGCUCCAAAUAAAAACUGAACGAACAAAGGAAAUUUCUUCCAAGUCUUCCUCGUUUAUUUUACAGACUUUUUAUGUAGUAAACAUGUUUAAUAUUAUAAAUACAUUCAAAGUGAAACCUGUUCAACAUCGCCAAUAAUAUAUUUACAUUUGAAGAAAACAGUACUUGAAGAUUUAUUUAACAGGACAAUGAUGAGUACAAUUUUGUUCAAGAUAUUAAUCUAAAUUGCAGUAAAUUAAAGGGAUUAAAUGGCAUGGCUGAUUAUUGAAAAUUAACUCAAAAAUAAUAUUCUAUUAUUAAAAAAAUUUUAAACGUAAUAUUAUUUUAAUUAAUAAUAAGCUAAUUUUCAUUAUGAUGACUAUAAAUUUUAUUAAUAGGAAUGAAGUUCAAACGUUUUUCAAAGCAGCUUCAGUAUAUCCCACUGUGCUUGAUAACAGCUAUAAUCGUUCAAAGUAACGAUACCACGAUUUAUGAUGUGAUAAUGCAACAUUUUUCGCCACAAGGAUGAUACAUCAACUCUGAACGAAAGAAGAACACGAGUACAUUCAGUUGUGUCCAAAUAAGUACAACGGCAAAAUGAAAAAAAUUAUUUUUCCAGAAAAUAUAGAAAAUUAUUGGAAAUUCUUGAGGAACCUGGCAACAUUAAUACAGACCAAAGCUAUCAUUAUUCUUCUCAGCUUUUUCUUUCUUCAAUUGACCAGUAAAAGAUCUGCGGCUGGCAACCAACGAUUCGUAACGUGAACAUUGGUCGCUUAAAGAGACAAGAGAGCUACAUACCAGCAUCGGUCGUAAUUCGAUUCCUUUGUCGAAGGAAUUUUACCUGCAAUCCUGAAAACCUCAAUCUACCUUUUGCUCAUCGACUCUUUAGAUCGCGAAGGAAUCUAUGAGAAAUAAAAUCGUUUCCAUGGUACUGGAAUGAAGAGAAAAACAAAUCUUUAUUUUUACACUUUCUUACCUCUAAACGUUACAUUUUGUGCAUCAGAAAUAAACAUUGUUAAGUAGGCAUUAAAAUGUGAGAGCUGAAGGCUAAUACGACACCGAUAUACUGUGCCAUUUGAUAAAAAUAAAAAAUGAAAUCGACCGUUUAUUAUCCGAGGGUGGUGAAUACGAUUCGGAGCCGUGUCAUUGCGGCGAAUUGGACGUGUUACUAACUCGUGAAAUUUCGAUCAGAGAUCUUUCUUCUUGUCAUUGACCUUGAAAUAAAAACAAAAAACACUCAUGUGGAGCAACUAUUAAACGCGACUACGUUACUCGAUACCAUUUACUGGCGGAUUAGAAGACAUCGACAUGUGGUUAUUGUGGUUCUGCUGAUGGCUCUGGACAUGUGUUACCUUGGAAACAGUCGGACGACCAGCUAAGAAAGCUGCUAACCGCUCC